rnacentral:misc_RNA from 1 species
GUCCGAACCCAACUGCCACCUCCUUCAAUCUUCAAGCCCCCCAAAAGAAGAAAUUCAAGAUUCUUUACCUACCUGUAACCACAACCCUCACAUUUCACCCUGUUUGAUUAUGCGUGUAUCUUUCUUCUACGUAUAUUUUUCACAGAAGAUGUACAUUUUAUAGAGCAGAAUCGACUCGUCCAUUAACGAGCCAGCCGACGAUCGACCGUGAGCCUUGUUGAUAUCAGAAUAGACAUCGAUGGUUUCUUUCGGCUACCGGCGGUCUAAUUCAUAGUUAUUUCCUCCAUUUAUGAUAAUCGAUAGGCGUUCUUGCUACAGCAGCUUUCUUAUACUAAGCGUCCUGACGAGCCCCUCAAGCUCUCCAUUCUCAAAUUGAAUAGCUCAUGUUUCCAUAAUUGUUGAAUUCAUUUUAGGGAUGUUUUGGUUCCUGAGAAAUUGUGGUAAAAUGGCACAGAUUUUUGGGUUUAAUGAGUUAGAGAUUGAUUGGGGGUUUUGUUUUUACAGACAUUCAAGUUAUGAAGUCAGCUUCCAUUGCAAAACUGAACUGAGACAGGCGGUGGAGGCUUUCUUUAGUGAUAGACCACAAAAAGGACCUCCAAAGAUUCUAUGAUGCACGGAAAGUGGCGUUUCUCGUGUCAAAAAAGUUCCGACAUGGAAAAGCCAUGACACGGCAGCGAGACGUUUCCGAGCCGCUUCUGGAAUUUUUAAAAAUUGGAAACACGUGUCCUUGCCUUGUCCAGCUAUCGUCGCGCCGUGUCAGAAAGACAAAAGAAGAAGAAAAGGAGGAGGAGGACUUAUCUGGUGGUUGGUAGUGACGGACAACAGCAAUGGCAGAACUGAUUUUGCAGGUACCAGUUAACAGCUUCCUUAUGGUACCUCAACAGAAGCACGUUUAACUUGGGAGCUCCUCCCAAAAGCAAUUGCUGAUAGUAAAUGCGCACCCUAUUUCUUUUAAGGUAUUGUAGAGCCUUGCAUCUUACGUGUUGCGAGCAGGCGUAGGGAUUUUGCAAUGCGCCUUUUUGACACAUCGUUCGACCGGGCAAUAAAUUCUCAAAGCACCAUGUCCAUACAUGGUAUUGGAGUCAAGGUUGAUUGUUGCCUCCAUAUGACCAACAGUCUCAUUGACAAAAGAUAAUAGUUUUGGUUUUGGUAAUAAUGUAAGGAAUUGCAGAAAAUGGUUAUUGUAUAAAUUUCUGUUAUUAGUGGAUGUAUUUGUCCUUUGUUUUUGUUCACUUGAAAAAUGUUCAACAUAAAGAUUGCUG